GAACGCUAGCGGCAGGCUUAAUACAUGCAAGUCGAAGGGUAACAUGGUAGCAAUACUGAUGACGACUGGCGCACGGGUGCGUAACACGUAUGCAACCUACCUUUAACUGGAGCAUAGCCCCUCGAAAGAGGGAUUAAUACUCCAUAACAUAAUGAAAAGGCAUCUUUUUAUUAUUAAACCUCCGGGGGUUAAAGAUGGGCAUGCGGUGCAUUAGCUAGUUGGUGAGGUAAUGGCUCACCAAGGCUACGAUGCAUAGGGGUUCUGAGAGGAUAUACCCCCACACUGGUACUGAGACACGGACCAGACUCCUACGGGAGGCAGCAGUAAGGAAUAUUGGACAAUGGUGGCAACACUGAUCCAGCCAUGCCGCGUGCAGGAUGACGGCCCUAUGGGUUGUAAACUGCUUUUGUACGGGAAAAAACCCUCGUCGUGAACGAGGCUGAUGGUACCGUAAGAAUAAGGAUCGGCUAACUCCGUGCCAGCAGCCGCGGUAAUACGGAGGAUCCAAGCGUUAUCCGGAUUUU
rnacentral:rRNA from 1 species